rnacentral:rRNA from 1 species
UACAGAGGGUGCAAGCGUUAAUCGGAUUUACUGGGCGUAAAGCGCGCGUAGGCGGCUAAUUAAGUCAAAUGUGAAAUCCCCCGAGCUUAACUUGGGAAUUGCAUUCGAUACUGGUUAGCUAGAGUGUGGGAGAGGAUGGUAGAAUUCCAGGUGUAGCGGUGAAAUGCGUAGAGAUCUGGAGGAAUACCGGAUGGCGAAGGCAGCCAUCUGGCCUAACACUGACCGCUGAGGUGCGAAAGCAUGGGGAGCAAACAGGG